GCUGAGUGUAGUGUAGUGGUUUGAACGUUGGACUACGACUCUGGAGACCAGGGUUCGAGUCCCCGCUUCAGCA